GGUCUGGGGAGAGAGUGAGAGCCGGCGCGUGUUGAUGGAUGGAAGUCUCGUGGAAACGGAGAGGCCAGUACUUUUCAUCUCGGCUUCGCCAAAGAUCCCUGAGCCGUCCCCGUGUCGCGCGCUCGUCCGCAGCCAGGAUCCGGAGUCGGGUUCUCAGGCUGGCGGUUCCGCCAUCUGGGAGGGAGAUCCGGCGUGGUACCCUGAUGGAGGAGGGAGAAGCUGUCAACUCUGACGAAGGAAAGUGGAAGCCAGGGAAGCUGCACCUGCAGAAAGUGCUGGAAUUCCCAGGCCAACCCCACCCCACUGUCCUUUACCUGUUUCUGCUCCCACCUUCUGCUCUGCCUGCUUUGCCUGAGCUUUGGAACUCCACAAAUAGAAGAUUUGGAGACAAAAGUAUUUAGAAAAGAAGUGUACUCAAAAAAGAUCUGUUAAGAAUCUCCACGGGCUAAAAGAAUUAGAUCAUCAAAAAAUACAUACAUGUAUCUAAAGGAUUCCUGCAAACUAACCUGAGAAGCCUUCCUGCCAAAGAGGAUCUACGCCUGCUUUUACCAAACAGAUGGGGAAGUUCCCUCUUGUCCAUACAGUUCACCUUGGAAUUAUUCAAAGCUUUUUUUGGGAAGCAGGAGGAUGCUGAUUCCCUUUAGGAUGGACUGGUUGGAUCUCCUUGCAGUCCAAGGGACUCUCAAGAAUCUUCUCCAACACCACAGUUCAAAAGCAUCAAUUCUUUGGGCGAUUGGAAAAUGCCACCCUCCUCAAGAUAUGUUGACAUCUUAGUCCCUUGAACCUGUGAGUGAGACUUUGUUUGAUAAAAGGACUUUGCGGGUGUAAGCUGAGCAUCUUGAGAGGAGACCGUCAUCCUGGAUCAUCCAGUUCAGUUCAGUUCAGUUGCUCAGUUGUGUCCGACUCUUUGCGACCCCAUGGACUGCAGCAUGCCAGGCCCCCGUGUCCAUCACCAACUCCCAGAGUUUACCCAAACUCAUGUCCAUCAAGUCGGUGAUGCCAUCCAACCACCUCAUCCUCUGUCGUCCCUUCUCCUCCCGCCUUCAAUCUUUCCCAGCAUCAGGGUCUUUUCCAAGGAGUCAGUUCUUCACAUCAGGUGGCCAAAAUAUUGAGUUUUAGCUUUAACAUCAGUCCUUCCAAUGAAUAUUCAGGACUGAUCUCCUUUAGGAUUGACUGGUUUGAUCUCCUUGCUGUCCAAGGGACUCUCAAGAGUCUUCUCCAACACCACAGUUCAAAAGCAUCAAUUCUGCGGCACUCAGCUUUCUUUACAGUCUAACUUACAUCCAUACAUGACUACUAGAAAAACCAUAGCCUUGACUAGACAGACCUUUGCUGGCAAAGUAAUGUCUCUGCUUUUUAAUAUGCUGUCUAGGUUAGUCAUAACUUUCCUUCCAAGGAGUAAGCGUCUUUUCAUUUCAUGGCUGCAGUCAUCAUCUGCAGUGAUCAUCCAGGUGGGCCCUAAAUGCCAUCACGAGGGUCCUUAAGGGACAGAGGCAGAGGAGGCAGGCAGAUGCACAGAGGGAGCAACGAUAGGAAGAUGGGGGCAGAGACGGAAGGAUGCGUCCACAAGCCAAGGAGGCCAAGGAGGGCCAGUCCACCCCAGAGGCUCGAAGAGGAGAGGAGAGCUUCUCCCCCGGGAUCCUGGGAGGGAGCACAGCCCUGCCAGGGCCUUGACCUCUGACCUCUGUCCUCCAGAACUAUGCGUGAAUAAAUUUUGCUUGUUU